UUCCUCUGUCUCUCUCGUUGUCCACUUCUCGUCUUUUUUCUUCUUAGUGACGCUCCCUCAGUUAACCAAUUGCUGACUCGUUUUAAAUGGUUGUGUACAUGUACUGUGUAUGCAUACUUUAUUCUCGUGCGAACAAAACAUUUCUAUUAUCGUCCCCUCGUUCGGCAAUCACGUAAAAGAAAAAAUAUCUUAUAUAUUGCAAAGGAUCAAGGAUCUCGUUGAGCUGCCAGUCAUCCUCGACUACGAGAUCGUCUACGUCCUUGGAUCGACUAAAGGAAAACGAGCGAAGUAAGGAUCUCCUUAGGCGGUGAACGAAGAUGGUGGGACUCCUUGACAAUGGUGGGUCAUGGGAGAGUGGCGAGCUAUACUCCCACGCGUCCGUUUACCACUAUCCAGAUCAGCUAUACAACCGAUUUCGACCUUGCCUACUGACCUUAUUUAAAUAUUUCUACAGUAUCGCAUAUAUUUCAAAUUAAAUUACGUGCGAUUCUCAAUAAUUCUUGAAAUCUACAUAUUGUUUAUUAAAUUCAUUAAAAGAAAA